AUGUUUACCCAAAUACCUCUGACCAGCCAUCCGAGUGUGGAAAGUCCGGGGAUGAGAUCAUGUAGCGCGAAAGCAGAAAUAAAGGGAGGGACGAACGUCGAAAGUGAAAGUAAAGCUGUCACAAGGAAACGUGUAACGUGGAUCAGAGCAGAAGGACGCGACCCAAGGCGACAUGACAAGCUGGGGUUUGCUGAUUACAGUAGAAUAAUGACAUCAUGGAGAUACGCACCUUACUUCUUUCUCCUUGUGUUGCUAAUUGACUUGUCAAAGGAGGAAUGCGAGGACUACUUUGAUUUUUCGAAAGAUAAAAACCUGGCACACAAUCUGACAAGGACGUUCCCCCUGGUAAAGCCUAAGAAUACCACGGACUUGCUACAGUGCAUGGGCUGCACUCUAAAAAAAAGCAAAGGCAGGGACAAACAGUUCCCAUACAUUCUGAAAGACUGCUUUGAAUCGGUCAAUGCCGAAAGUUGUUCUAAUGAAACUUUUGGUAAUAUUUCGUAUUACAACCUAAUGUGCUUGACAGCCAAAGCGCUGGAACUUAACAGUACAGACAUUAAAGCCUGCCAUUUUGGUGACAGUGAAACUCUAUUCAAGCUGCCUUCACUACAGUAUUAUGGUAGGUCAAGUAUUUUAUUUACUAAUACAGUAAAAAUGCUUUUACAUAACUACACCUCUCAGUGA
rnacentral:lncRNA from 1 species